UAGGGAAUCUUCGGCAAUGGACGAAAGUCUGACCGAGCAACGCCGCGUGAGUGAAGAAGGUUUUCGGAUCGUAAAACUCUGUUGUUAGAGAAGAACAAGGACGUUAGUAACUGAACGUCCCCUGACGGUAUCUAACCAGAAAGCCACGGCUAACUACGUGCCAGCAGCCGCGGUAAUACGUAGGUGGCAAGCGUUGUCCGGAUUUAUUGGGCGUAAAGCGAGCGCAGGCGGUUUCUUAAGUCUGAUGUGAAAGCCCCCGGCUCAACCGGGGAGGGUCAUUGGAAACUGGGAGACUUGAGUGCAGAAGAGGAGAGUGGAAUUCCAUGUGUAGCGGUGAAAUGCGUAAAUAUAUGGAGGUAAACCAGUGGCGAAGGCGGCUCUCUGGUCUGUAACUGACGCUGAGGCUCGAAAGCGUGGGGAGCAAACAGG
rnacentral:rRNA from 1 species